rfam:Astyanax mexicanus chromosome 23, whole genome shotgun sequence.
UGUACACCAUUAUGCGUAAGUCGCUUUGGAUAAAAGCAUCUGCUAAAUGUAAUGUA